rnacentral:rRNA from 1 species
GGAGCCUGAGAGAUAGCGACUAUGUCCACGGGCAGCAGCAGGCGCGAAACUUACCCACUCGAGACGAUCGGAGGUGGUAAUGACCAGUACCUUUCUCGGCCAUUUGGCCAGAACGGUUAGGAUGUCGCUUUUCCAGCGGCGUGAAAUCUAGCAGAGGGCCAGUCUGGUGCCAGCAGCUGCGGUAAUUCCAGCUCUGCAAGUUUGCUCCCAUAUUGAUGCAGUUAAAACGCCCGUAGUCUGAAUUUCGCUCGUAAGAGCGGUUGAUCCCUUAGGGGAGUUCACUGUGAACAAAUCAGGACGCUUAGUGUAUUUUUCUAGAAGGAAUGACUCAGCGCAGUAUGAAAUAUUUACCUAUAGGUAAGCUCAAUGAGAGCCAUCGGGGGUAGAUCUAUUCCGUGGCGAGCGGUGGAAUGCUUUGACCCACGUGGAGAGAAACAAAAGCGAAGGCAUCUACCUAGAGGGUUUCUGUCGAUCAAGGGCGAGAGUAGGAGUAUCCAACCGGAUCAGAGACCCGGGUAGUUCCUACUGUAAACGAUGCCGACAGGGGCUUGUCUUAUCUAAUGAAGGCAGGACCUUAGGAGAAAUCAUAGUUCUUGGGCUCUGGGGGAACUACGACCACAAGGCUGAAACUUGAAGGAAUUGACGGAAGGGCACACCAGGGGUGGAGCCUGUGGCUUAAUUUGAAUCAACACGGGAAAACUUACCAGAACCAGAUGUUUUUUAUGACUGACAGGCUAGGGGUCUUUCAGGAUAUGAUUUUUGGUGGUGCAUGGCCGUUGGUGGUGCGUGGGUUGACCUGUCUAGCGUUGAUUCAGCUAACGAGCGAGAUUAUCGCCAAUUACUUAGAUCAGCUUGCUCUCAAGUCUGAUUCUUCUAAUUGGGACUCCCUGCGAUUUAGCAGGAGGAAGAGGGUAGCAAUAACAGGUCCGUGAUGCCCU